AGCGGGGGCCAGCGUUAUUCGGAAUUAUUGGGCGUAAAGGGCGCGUAGGCGGCCAUGCGUGUCUUCCGUGAAAUCCCUCGGCUCAACCGAGGACGUGCGGAAGAAACUUCAAGGCUCGAGUCCGGAAGAGGGGGGCGGAAUUCCCAGUGUAGCGGUGAAAUGCGUAGAUAUUGGGAGGAACACCAGUGGCGAAGGCGGUCCCCUGGGCCGGAACUGACGCUGAGGCGCGAAAGCGUGGGUAGCAAACGGGAUUAGAUACCCCGGUAGUCCACGCCGUAAACGAUGGGCACUUGGUGUCGCGGGUAUCGACCCCUGCGGUGCCGAAGCUAACGCAUUAAGUGCCCCGCCUGGGGAGUACGGUCGCAAGGCUG
rnacentral:rRNA from 1 species